UACAGAGGUGGCAAGCGUUGUUCGGAAUUACUGGGCGUAAAGGGCUCGUAGGCGGCCAACUAAGUCAGACGUGAAAUCCCUCAGCUUAACUGGGGAACUGCGCCUGAUACUGGAUGGCUUGGAUUCGGGAGAGGAAUGCGGAAUUCCAGGUGUAGCGGUGAAAUGCGUAGAUAUCUGGAGGAACACCGGUGGCGAAGGCGGCAUUCUGGACCGAUAUUGACGCUGAGGAGCGAAAGCCAGGGGAGCAAACGGG
rnacentral:rRNA from 1 species